rnacentral:rRNA from 1 species
UACGGGGGGGGCAAGCGUUGUUCGGAAUUACUGGGCGUAAAGGGCUCGUAGGCGGCCAACUAAGUCGGAUGUGAAAUCCCCAGGCUUAACCUGGGAACUGCAUCCGAUACUGGAUGGCUUGAAUCCGGGAGAGGGAUGCAGAAUUCCAGGUGUAGCGGUGAAGUGCGUAGAUAUCUGGAGGAAUACCGGUGGCGAAGGCGGCAUCCUGGACCGGCAUUGACGCUGAGUGAGCGAAAGCCAGGGGAGCAAACGGG